rnacentral:rRNA from 1 species
UACAGAGGUCUCAAGCGUUGUUCGGAUUCAUUGGGCGUAAAGGGUGCGUAGGCGGACUAUUAAGUCAGUGGUGAAAGCCCCAAGCUUAACUUGGGAACUGCCAUUGAUACUGAUGGUCUUGAGUACAUUUGAGGUGGGCGGAAUGUGUCAUGUAGCGGUGAAAUGCUUAGAUAUGAUACAGAACACCGAUUGCGAAGGCAGCUCACUAAACUGUAACUGACGCUGAGGCACGAAAGCGUGGGGAGCAAACAGG